rnacentral:rRNA from 1 species
UACGUAGGGGGCUAGCGUUAUCCGGAAUUACUGGGCGUAAAGGGUGCGUAGGUGGUUUCUUAAGUCAGAGGUGAAAGGCUACGGCUCAACCGUAGUAAGCCUUUGAAACUGGGAAACUUGAGUGCAGGAGAGGAGAGUGGAAUUCCUAGUGUAGCGGUGAAAUGCUUAGAUAUUACACAGAACACCGAUUGCGAAGGCAGCUUGCUGGGUCAUUACUGACGCUGAUGCACGAAAGCGUGGGGAUCAAACAGGAUUAGAUACCCCGGUAGUCCCU